UACGAAGGGGGCUAGCGUUGUUCGGAAUUACUGGGCGUAAAGGGCGCGUAGGCGGCCCUCCAAGUCAGAUGUGAAAGCCCCGGGCUUAACCUGGGAAUUGCAUUUGAGACUGAAGGGCUUGAGUUUCGGAGAGGUGGGCGGAAUUCCCAGUGUAGAGGUGAAAUUCGUAGAUAUUGGGAAGAACACCGGUGGCGAAGGCGGCCCACUGGACGAACACUGACGCUGAGGCGCGAAAGCUAGGGGAGCAAACAGG
rnacentral:rRNA from 1 species